rnacentral:misc_RNA from 1 species
UAAAUUGAAUUUAAUUGAUAGGAAUUCAAGUCAAAGAACAACAGAUGUUGGAUCUAUACAUUAAAUGUCAACCAGAAGUCAUUUAACAGUUCUAAGCAUAUAUUCAUGUAUGGGGAAAAUGAAAAAAACAUAAUACAGGUUAUGUUUGUGUUUCAAUUAGCCACAACAUCCUCCUCUCUGAGCAACAGUUCCAUCUCUUGCGCCUGAUGAGCCCUGGGGGCGUCCAUAUCCAACCUUGAUACCCGAAGACUCAUUGGAUACAUCAAAAACGCCUUCCUGGAUAUUCUGAAGGAUCUUUCCUGCAGUCCUUAUAAAGGCCUCCUCAACAUUUUGAGCUGUUCUUGCAGAAGCCUCCAAGAAUAAAAGUCCAUUUUCCUUGGCAAACUGUUCUCCUUCCUCUUUGCUGACAGCCCUCCGGUGAGAAAGAUCACAUUUGUUCCCUAUAAGCAUGAUUGUCAUGUUGGGAUUUGCAUGCUGCCGAGCAUCCUCUAGCCAGCUUGCUAAGUGAUUAAAUGUUUCUCUCCUCGUAAUGUCGUAAACCAGAAGUGCUCCAGCUGCUCCUCUGUAGUAUGAUCUAGUGAUGGAUCUAAAGGAUUCUUGGCCAGCAGUGUCCCAAAUCUGAAGCUUGAUGGGUCGGCCAUCGAUGGUAACCAUGCGAGCGCCGAACUCAACACCGAUAGUGAGAUCAUGCACAGGCUGGAACCUCUUAUCCGUGAAUUGCAAGAGCAGGCAUGAUUUCC